rnacentral:piRNA from 1 species
UUUAUGCCUGGAUGGACAAGU